rnacentral:rRNA from 1 species
GAUGAACGCUGGCGGCGUGCCUAAUACAUGCAAGUCGAGCGAACGGACGAGAAGCUUGCUUCUCUGAUGUUAGCGGCGGACGGGUGAGUAACACGUGGAUAACCUACCUAUAAGACUGGGAUAACUUCGGGAAACCGGAGCUAAUACCGGAUGAUAUUUUGAACCGCAUGGUUCAAAAGUGAAAGACGGCCUUGCUGUCACUUAUAGAUGGAUCCGCGCUGCAUUAGCUAGUUGGUAAGGUAACGGCUUACCAAGGCAACGAUGCAUAGUCGACCUGAGAGGGUGAUCGGCCACACUGGAACUGAGACACGGUCCAGACUCCUACGGGAGGCAGCAGUAGGGAAUCUUCCGCAAUGGGCGAAAGCCUGACGGAGCAACGCCGCGUGAGUGAUGAAGGUCUUCGGAUCGUAAAACUCUGUUAUUAGGGAAGAACAUAUGUGUAAGUAACUGUGCACAUCUUGACGGUACCUAAUCAGAAAGCCACGGCUAACUACGUG